rnacentral:rRNA from 1 species
AACGAACGCUGGCGGCAGGCUUAACACAUGCAAGUCGAACGCAUCCUUCGGGGUGAGUGGCAGACGGGUGAGUAACGCGUGGGAACGUGCCCUUCGGUUCGGGAUAACCCAGGGAAACUUGGGCUAAUACCGGAUACGUGCGAGAGCAGAAAGAUUUAUCGCUGAAGGAUCGGCCCGCGUCUGAUUAGCUAGUUGGGGGGGUAAUGGCCCACCAAGGCGACGAUCAGUAGCUGGUCUGAGAGGAUGAUCAGCCACAUUGGGACUGAGACACGGCCCAAACUCCUACGGGAGGCAGCAGUGGGGAAUAUUGGACAAUGGGCGCAAGCCUGAUCCAGCCAUGCCGCGUGAGUGAUGAAGGCCUUAGGGUUGUAAAGCUCUUUCGUCCGGGACGAUAAUGGCGGUACCGGAAGAAGAAGCCCCGGCUAACUUCGUGCCAGCCGCCGCCGUAA